rnacentral:lncRNA from 1 species
ACACACACACACACACACACACACACACAGGAUUUUCAUGCACAAGUAUGUUCCAAAGAAAAUGCAAUCUUUUUGCUGUCCCCUAAAUCGUCUCUGUAAAUAAGCUGAGUCCUCCUUCUGCAGAGGUUUGGGCAGCCAUCUUGACUCUGAUCUCAGUGUUCAGCUUUCUAUGGAUCUUACUCUGCUCUCACCAGGGGCCUCACCUCCUCAUGUGACUCUAAAGAGGUUUCCAAAAGGCUUUGUCUUUGAGAUGAUUGGUUGUGAUGGGCUGGCUUAGGCUUUGUCUUUGAGAUUAUUGGUUGUGAUGGGCUGGUUUAGGCUUUGUCUUUGAGAUUGGUUACGAUGGGCUGGUUUAGGCUUUAAGGUUAUUGGUUGUUAUGAUUUGGCUUUUCUUUUUCUGUAGUGCCUAGGACUUUUAAAAUAUGUCUGAGUACUCACAAUUAUAAAAUAAACAGACAAGAAUAUAAAAAUAUAAAUGGUGAUAAGCGGACCUACAAGUGGAUAUGGAAUUUAUCCAUGCUGGUCCAUACCUUCACUCAACAUCUGUCAUCCUGACUCUUCUUUACAGAUGGAAUAACACACAUGCCACCCUCCACUUCCCUCUUUUACUUUGAGGCUUUGAAACAUUUUGUCGUUGUUGUUGUUGUUUUCUUGCCCAGUUACAGUUUUGUCUUUAGCACUUUGACCUCUGAGGUAUAAUUUACAUAAUGGGAAAGAUUGUGGAUUAGGGACACCUGCAUGUCCCCGUAAAGCACAUGGCUUUACUAUCUCUACCAUAACACACACAUGAAGCCCACAGCUUCAUCUACAUAGAAUAUGUUUUCGUCGUCACACCAGAAAUAUUCUUCAUGACCUCUUCCUAGCCACCCUAAAACCCAACCCCAGGGGCCACCUGAUUGCUCUCACACAAAGCAGUUUGCAGCAACAGUAACAUCACAAAGUAAGGAUUUUCUUUCACCAUGAAGGUGUUUUGCCUGCUCUGAAAUUUCUAAAUUUCUAAAUUUCUAAAGUGGUACAUUCUGUGUUAUGACUGUUUUUUUUCCACUCUCUCUCAGUCUCUCUCUCUCUCUCUCUCUCUCUCUCUCUCUCUCUCUCUCUCUCUCUCUCUCUCUCCAUCACCCCCACCCAUCUAAUGCUUCUGAGAUGCAUCCAUAGCAUAAUGUAUUUUGAUAGUACCAGCCUUUCAUUUCAUUUUGUUUUGUUUGGCUCUGUGCUACUUCAUCCUGUAAAUGUAUUAAAAUUUAUUUGUUCGUUCUUCUGUCGAUGGUCAUCUGAGGUAGUUUGAAUUUGGAGUCAUGAUGGGUAAAGUUUCUAUAAGAACCUUUACAAUACAAAUACAAACACAGAUCCUUUGUAAAGAUAUCUAUUUCAUUUAAGUUGAGUAAAAAUCUAGAAAUGAUGUUGGUAGGUCAUAGGUGUAUAUCUAACAGUUAGAAUAUCAUCCAAAGGUUCCUAAAAUGUGUCUAUUAAUAUGAGCUUUGUGGCUAUCUCUGCAUCUUUUACCACAUUUUAGCAUUACCAGUAUUUUUAUACUUGAAGCUUUGCUAAAAGGUGUGGUCUCUAUUUGCAAGUCUCACUGAAGUUUUAAUUUGCAUUUCCCCAAGCCAUACUGCCAGUUAAUACAACUUGGUGAAUUUAUUGGCAAUACAUUUCUUUUCUAUUGUGAAAUUUCUGUUCAAAUAUCGUGACCACUUUUAGAAGUUGUAUUUUAUAACCUUAGUUAUUAAGUUAGAAAGAUUCUUACACUCUGGAUACAGAUAAACUCUGGGGACUAUAAGCACAUAAUCCCAGUCUGGAGAUUCUGUUUUGAUUUUAACAGUAUGGUUUAUGCUUAUUAAAUUUUUGUUUAGUUGGACUUUUAUUUAUGAACAUUUGAUUUAAUCAUAUUUACCUUGUGAUUUCAGUCCUUUGAAAUUUAUUAGGACCUGUUUUGUUUUUUUUUCUAAGCAGAUUAUCUCUCUCAAUAAGUGUGCUGUGAUACCGUGAGAUGAAAGUACACACCUCUCUUGUUGAUCAGAGUAUUCUGCGCAUGCCACUGAGAUCAGGCUAGCUCUGAGCUUGCUUCAGCCUCUCCUGCACACCAUCUCUCUGCCCUGCUUUUUCUCCCCAGAACUGAGAGGAAUGCUAAAAUCUCAUUGGUCAUGUAUUUGUCUACCCUUCAGCUUACGUUUGCUAGUUUUUGAUUCAUGCUGCUUGAAACUCUAAGUGAAUGCACUCUCAAGGAUGUCCUUUUAAUGGUUUAUUGUGAUUUCAUGACUUUUUAAUUCAUGGGAAUUUCCUGAAUCUCAAGACUUACGAUAUCUGUUGUUAAUUCAGUCAUCACCCUUCCUUGUGAUUAUACCUUCAUGGUAUAUCUGUCCAUACACACUCAUCUCCAAUGUGUUUGAAGCAAACUGCCGAUUUCCUUCCAAUUUAUCCCAUAUGGCACCUGCUCUUCCCUUGUCUUUUUAAUUAGCUACUCAUAUUUUUUCUGGGUUUUUUUUAUGCUUUAUUUUGUAUUGUAAAAAAUACAAUAGGGUAUUAGUUCUUAUGUGUUUGGUUGGUUGAUUUGGUCUUUGUUUUGGUUUUGGAUUUUUUUUAGGCCUGGUCUCACUCUGUAGCCCAAGGGAGCCUGGAAUUCACUGUACAGUGCAGUGUGACCUGGACAACUAUCUUAAUGGUGCAACCUUUGUUCUUGGCUUAGAUCAGUUUGUGAAUAUCAUUGUGGACUUUGUAGAGUCUGUCUUUCUACUAGAAAAAUGAUUUCCUUUUCCUCAGACACAGUCCUUGUUCACUACCUGCUACCCCAACUCUGCAAACAGUCACUUCAUAUAUCUUGUUUUAUUUUAGUAAUGAUUACAGUGGUGGCAAGUCAUCACGGUCAUCAUGACCAGUAACAUUUCUCACCCUUACUAAUGACCCUUCCUCCCUGCUCUCUCUAGGCAUGGGCUUGGGAUAUGUAACAACAUGCUCAUGGGUUCUCUGCUCACAAAAAAGGGAGAUAACAGUUCCUCUACAGCUCCCACUCUUCAUUCAAAGGGAAGCAACAAGACAAACUGAACAGUUACCACAUCUGUCCUCUUCUUUACCACAGUGAUGUCAAGUUAUGGCUUUCUUUGGCUUUGGAAAGAAAGGAGGGGAAAUCACUCUAUUUUCUCAUAUGAGGAUAUUCCUCAGCAUGGUCUGUCACUGAGUUUCAACUAACCAUGAUCAUUUUUGUUUAUUAAUACAGUGCAAGGGAUUGCUUUUAUAGAAAGCACAUGUAAUUUUUUUCUCCUAAAUAUUAACCUUUAAGUCUUUUAAUCAUAAUAUCAUCAUCACAUGACUUUUUCUUUAUAUGCCUUAAAAUCAAGGAUAACACUUUUCUCUUAGUUUUACAUGUAUGACAGAUGAUGAAACACACACACAUGCGCAUGUGUGUAUAAGGGAUGGAGCUGAGAGCAUUUACUACUCUUGCAAAGGACCCAGGUUCAGUUCCCAUCACUCACACACUGGGCUACAAUCAUCCAUAACUCACGUUCCAGGGGAUUCAGUACUCUCUUCUGAUACCCAAGGACACCUGGCAGGCACAUGAUGUACAUACAUACAGGCAAAGGAAACUUCCAUACACCUAAAAUAAAAUAAAGAAAUCUUAAACACAUAGGAUAUUCAGUUACAUUUUACUCUCAUUAACAUGGUGGUGAUAUACUUUAAUCUAAGAAUAUUUAAUGGGCUCAUUAAAUCAUACAUAUUUAAAGUAUAUCAUGUUAUGAUUUUAUAGAUGUAUACAUUGUAUAAUUAUCAUAAUUAGGUUAAUAUGUCCAUUAUUACUCAGAGUUACCAUUGUGUGUGUAUGUGUGUGUGUGUGAGUGUGUAUAGGAGUGUAAAAAUCUAUUCUCAUUAGGCUGCAAGCAUUCAAUGCAUUGCUGUUGCCUACAGUCAUGAUGCUUUUCAUUAGGGAAUCAGAACCUUGAACUCAAGAUACAUGAAAGCUUUAUGUUCUUUAACUGACAUCUCCCCACUCACAGACUUUUCAGAUUGCACAUGUAAAUGAGGUCAUACGCCAUAUAUCUUGUACUACAAAACCCAUAAUUUCAACCAUAUGAGGGCAAAUUGUGUGGAUUCUUUCUUCUCCGUGCUGAAGGACAUUCUACUGUAAGGGAACACAUUUUUGUUUAUUCAUCCAUCUGUCAGUGGACACUUGAAUGUCUGUCUCUAGACCACAGUGAAGUGACACCUUCAGUCCUUUGAGGUAUAGACCUAUGAGAGAGAUUGGCAUGUCCAGAGCAGUGCACUGCUUCAUGUCAUCACUGAUGCAGCUCAGGAUCUGGGCUUCACACACACCUUUACCGACACACUAUUUUCUUGUCUUGUUGACAGUAGCUGCCCUGUCGGUGUAGGGUGCUGUUUCAUUGUGGUACUCCUUGCACUUGCUCUCUGUUAAUAACUACUGCCAUUAAUCAUUGUCUGCUCACGAGACAGUAGAGUAUCCUCCUUGGAAAUACCCAUGCCCUUUGCCUUAAGCAUGAACUUUAGAUACACAGUAAGUGCUUGUCCUGGCUUAUCCAUGCCUCACACAAUAUGAAGACUAUGUGUUCACUGAAAAGCCCUCUUCAUCCAGCAUUCAUUUUUAACUGCAUGCACUCUUUUUGUUUGAU